CACGAGGUGAAGAUGCUGCGGGCGGAACCUGGCCGAGAGAGCGGGAUUCGGGGGCGCUAAAGUCGCCGGGGCAGGGCGGGAAGGAAGAUCCGGAGCGGGGCACAGGAUUCGGAGCUGGAGCCCCCAGGGCCUCUCCGGAACGGCGCCCUCCCGCCCCUUCUAGAUGGAAGAAAGUCAGCUCUGAGAAGAAGGCGUGAACAAGGGGCUCUGACCCUCCGGCCUCACGGGACCUCCGCUCCGUGAAGAAGAGAGCAGGCCAGCACGAGUGAGGCCGGCCCCAUGUAUCCGGAAUCGACCACGGGCUCCCCGGC